rnacentral:rRNA from 1 species
CGCUGGCGGCGCGCCUAACACAUGCAAGUCNAGCGAGAACCGGAGCUUCGGCUCCGGGGACAGCGGCGAACGGGUGAGUAACACGUGGAUAACCUGCCCUCGGCACCGGAAUAGCCCGGGGAAACCCGGAUUAAUGCCGGAUGGCCCCACAUCCCUGCGGGGAACGUGGGAAAAGGUAGCUUCGGCCUCUGGCCGAGGAUGGGUCCGCGGUGGAUUAGCUUGUUGGUGGGGUAAUGGCCCACCAAGGCGACGAUCCAUAGCUGGUCUGAGAGGACGAUCAGCCACACUGGGUCUGAGACACGGCCCAGACUCCUACGGGAGGCAGCAGUGGGGAAUCUUGCGCAAUGGGCGAAAGCCUGACGCAGCGACGCCGCGUGCGGGAAGAAGGCCUUAGGGUUGUAAACCGCUUUCAGGAGGGACGAAGCCACUCGGGUGAAUAGCCCAGAGGGUGACGGUACCUCCAGAAGAAGCCCCGGCUAACUACGUGCCAGCAGCCGCGGUAAUACGUAGGGGGCAAGCGUUGUCCGGAUUCAUUGGGCGUAAAGAGCGUGUAGGCGGCCAGGUAGGUCGGUUGUGAAAACUGGAGGCUCAACCUUCAGAGGUCGA